AAAGUCGUAACAAGGUAACCGUAGGUGAACCUGCGGUUGGAUCAUUAAAAAUGAUGUUUGCGGAAGCGUUCAUUACUCUGGUAUUGAAGCAGCCACGCAGGCUUCAUCCUUCAUUUAUGGAGGAUGGCUUUACAUUAUGUGAACCGUACUUGUCUCUGGCGGGGGGGUGGGCCUUGAAAGCCUGCCCGUUAACCCCGUCAGCCACUUGUCAUACACUUUUCAAUUGUCUGAAUAUACUGUAUUUUAUAAUACAUUAAAACAACUUUUGGCAACGGAUCUCUUGGCUCUC
rnacentral:misc_RNA from 1 species